UAAAUUUUUCUAAAUACGGAUGUAUCUAGUUACAUUUUAGUGUUAGAUACAUCCGUAUCUAAAAAAAUGUAAGACAAGAAUUUUGGGACGGGGGGAAUACUAC
rnacentral:pre_miRNA from 1 species